UUGUAUCGUAAUGUACUAUUUUUCCCUGGGCUGCCAAACCACUCGCAAGGUUUGAUGGAUCAGAUAUUGGUAAAAAGGCAUUCGGAUUUUUAACAUAAUUAUACCAAAAAAAAAAAAAAAAGAAAUUCAAAAGCGAAAGUGGCGGCUAUUCUUUACAAACUUUGACUAUGAAUUCAUAUUAAGAUACCUGUGGGGUUUUCAGAUAUCAUUUUUUGUUAUGAUUAGAACUAAUAUUCCGUCGGACGUACCGUUUUUGAUCUACAAUCAUAAAACUAAAAAGAGCAAAAAUAUAUGCACACCUCCUUGUGUACCUUACCCCAUCUACCACUAAACUAAUUAACUAAAAUUCAACCAGGAUUAAAUAAAAAUAGGAAAAUAAAUAAAUUUGGCCAUGUGAUCGUCUAGUGUAUUUACGUUGUAAACCUUAGUACCCUUCGUCUUUUAUGUGAAAACUGAUACGAUUUGGAUUUUCCAAAACUAUCCCUAACUAUCCUAUGAAUUUGUAAAUAUUCCUACUGUAUAUUUUUAUUAACACUAUUGUUAGACAAAUAAAAAAAAUAGUAAAUAAUAUAUAUUUUUUAGAAUUUAUCUCCUACCGGGCCCUACCGUGACCAGUUACCGUGAACAGUAACGAGAAGAAACGCCAAGAAACUCAUCUGAAUGUACUAUUAAUGUAUGGAAUACUGAAAACAAUCGUCUAUUAAAUAUGACUUUAUUUACCCUUUAAUUCCCCAGUUAUAGAAAAGCUCAAUUGUCACUAGUGAACUGCUCCGCCGGUCACUAGCUCCCUAUAACAAAAUUAUUUAGUAUGUCCUCAAAUAACUUUGUUCCCCUAUCUCACCCAAUGUAAAAAUAUAUAAACCUUCAAUCAUAUUUAAUGUACGAGCCUCAGUAACCCAUCCAUAUGCUACUGAAGAUAGGUUUUAAUUUAUUUUGUAAUUAAAACAGUUAAAAACUCUAAUGAUUUUAGUUUCGUAUACAAUCAAACUAAAUGUGAAAGAAAAUAAAUAAACCUAACACCCAAAUAAUGACUCUACCCUAACUCUACCCCAAAUUCACCUAUUCUAAUGUGUGUAAAACUAGAGGCGAACCUCUAUUUUCACAGGGAGGAGUGUGUGUGAGGGACCCUAAUUUAAGCUCUAAACGUUCGGCCGACAAAACCGAGGUAUAGCAAACCCUAGUGUCUGUGUGAUUGCCUCCCUCCAUCUGUGUUAGCCGAAGCCUGGGUACAGAUGAAUAAGGCGCCCUAACCAUGUAUAUAAUGUGUAUAAAUAAAUAUAUUUAACAAGACAAC